GGAUGUGGCUCAAUUGGUAGCGCGCUCACCUGGCAUGCAUGGGGCACUGGGUUCAAUCCUCAGCACCA
rnacentral:tRNA from 1 species